rnacentral:miRNA from 1 species
GUCACAGACAAUAGUCAGAUGUACAAUAAUAUGAGUGCUAAAUGAAUCCAUUAUUCAUUUAGCACUCAUAUUAUUGUACAUCUGACUAUUGUCUGUGAC